AGGGAAGUCGGCAAAAUGGAUCCGUAACUUCGGGAAAAGGAUUGGCUCUGAGGGCUGGGCACGGGGGUCCCAGUCCCGAACCCGUCGGCUGUUCGGCGGACUGCUCGAGCUGCUACCGCGGCGAGAGCGGGUCGCCGCGUGCCGGCCGGGGGACGGACUGGGAACGGCUCUUUCGGGGCCUUCCCCGGGCGUCGAACAGCCAACUCAGAACUGGUACGGACAAGGGGAAUCCGACUGUUUAAUUAAAACAAAGCAUUGCGAUGCCCUGCAGUGAGCAUCGGCUGCAUAAAUCACAUUGCCUAAGUUCU
rnacentral:ncRNA from 1 species